ACACCCCUCAAGCCCCCGGGCUUGGUGUUGGGGAUCGGGAAUCGCGCUGGCGGAAGCCCCUCGGGGCCCCCCCGCCCGCCGCGCCCGUCCCCCAAACGCAUCGGCGGUCACGCCGCGGCCUCUUGCGCGUAGUAGCUAACACCUCGCGCCGGAGCCCGUCGUGGUCCACGCCGUAAAACCCCCGACUUUCACACAA
rnacentral:misc_RNA from 1 species